UGACACAGUAGAAAUUGGUUAAUACGUCACAUUUUACAUCACUAUUUUGUAGAAGAUUUUUAGUAAGUUUCUCUAUUUUUAUUCCUUGCCACUCUGGAUUUUACAAAUAUUCUGACCUAGUUGAUCCAUCACAUGGUCUCAUAUCACAACUGUUGCAUCGCUAUAUUCACAUAGAUGUUUUUCUGUUUAAUUUAGAAGACAGUAUUUCUGAAAAAGUAUGAAACGACCCCAAAUCCAAAAGUUAUGGUGCACAAUGAAAAUGUAUGCUUUUAAUAAUGCUGGCUUCUGCAGUAGGUGUAGACCAUGUUUCAAAUAACCACAGACUAAUCAGAAACUCCACCUGUGAAAGGAACUUGAAAUUGUGCUAUUCCUCCAAGCUUAUAACACCAGCAAAUUGGGUCAAUAGGUUAUUCCUUUAAAAUAGGACUAUGAGCCUACAGAGGCUCACUCUGAAGAACUCAGCCGUGGAGUUAGUUCUGUACUAUAUCCAUCACAACAGACAUGCUUCAUCCCAUAGACUUCUUGACAUAGCUUGAAAUGAGUGAACCCAUCCUUGAUUUAUAUACAUAUAUGUUCUCAGUAUUUUGGGAGCCUUUCCAC
rnacentral:lncRNA from 1 species